ACACUCCUGCGGGAGGCAGCAGUGGGGAAUUUUGGACAAUGGGCGAAAGCCUGAUCCAGCAAUGCCGCGUGAGUGAAGAAGGCCUUCGGGUUGUAAAGCUCUUUUGUCAGGGAAGAAACGGUGAAAGCUAAUAUCUUUUGCUAAUGACGGUACCUGAAGAAUAAGCACCGGCUAACUACGUGCCAGCAGCCGCGGUAAUACGUAGGGUGCAAGCGUUAAUCGGAAUUACUGGGCGUAAAGCGUGCGCAGGCGGUUUUGUAAGUCUGAUGUGAAAUCCCCGGGCUCAACCUGGGAAUUGCAUUGGAGACUGCAAGGCUAGAAUCUGGCAGAGGGGGGUAGAAUUCCACGUGUAGCAGUGAAAUGCGUAGAUAUGUGGAGGAACACCGAUGGCGAAGGCAGCCCCCUGGGUCAAGAUUGACGCUCAUGCACGAAAGGGUGGGGAGCAAACAGGAUUACAAACCCGAGUAGUCCCA
rnacentral:rRNA from 1 species